rnacentral:rRNA from 1 species
AUACGGAGGGAGCGAGCGUUAAUCGGAAUUACUGGGCGUAAAGCGCGCGUAGGCGGUUUGGUCAGUCGGAUGUGAAAGCCCCAGGCUCAACCUGGGAAUGGCAUUCGAUACUGCCUGACUAGAGUAUGGUAGAGGGAAGUGGAAUUUCCGGUGUAGCGGUGAAAUGCGUAGAUAUCGGAAGGAACACCAGUGGCGAAGGCGACUUCCUGGGCCAAUACUGACGCUAAGGUGCGAAAGCGUGGGGAGCAAACAGGAUUAGAAACCCCGGUAGUCC